rnacentral:misc_RNA from 1 species
GAUGAAGAACGCAGCGAAAUGCGAUAAGUAAUGUGAAUUGCAGAAUUCAGUGAAUCAUCGAAUCUUUGACGCACAUUGCGCCCGCCAGCACUCUGGCGGGCAUGCCUGUUCGAGCGUCAUUUCAACCAUCAAGCCCCCAGGGGCUUGUGCUGGGGCCCUGCGGCUGCCCGCAGGCCCUGAAAACCAGUGGCGGGCUCGCUAGUCACACCGAGCGCAGUAGCACAUCUCGCUCAGGGCGUGCGGCGGGCUCCUGCCGUGAAACCCCCCACUGUAACCCCAAAGGUUGACCUCGGAUCAGGUAGGAAUACCCGCUGAACUUAAGCAUAUCAAUAAGCGGAGGA